GCAAGUCGAGCGGCAGCACGGGUACUUGUACCUGGUGGCGAGCGGCGGACGGGUGAGUAAUGCCUAGGAAUCUGCCUGGUAGUGGGGGAUAACGCUCGGAAACGGACGCUAAUACCGCAUACGUCCUACGGGAGAAAGCAGGGGACCUUCGGGCCUUGCGCUAUCAGAUGAGCCUAGGUCGGAUUAGCUAGUUGGUGAGGUAAUGGCUCACCAAGGCGACGAUCCGUAACUGGUCUGAGAGGAUGAUCAGUCACACUGGAACUGAGACACGGUCCAGACUCCUACGGGAGGCAGCAGUGGGGAAUAUUGGACAAUGGGCGAAAGCCUGAUCCAGCCAUGCCGCGUGUGUGAAGAAGGUCUUCGGAUUGUAAAGCACUUUAAGUUGGGAGGAAGGGCAGUUACCUAAUACGUAUCUGUUUUGACGUUACCGACAGAAUAAGCACCGGCUAACUCUGUGCCAGCAGCCGCGGUAAUACAGAGGGUGCAAGCGUUAAUCGGAAUUACUGGGCGUAAAGCGCGCGUAGGUGGUUUGUUAAGUUGAAUGUGAAAUCCCCGGGCUCAACCUGGGAACUGCAUCCAAAACUGGCAAGCUAGAGUAUGGUAGAGGGUGGUGGAAU
rnacentral:rRNA from 1 species